UAAUAUAUCAAGCGAUAGAGUGAAGAGUUUUUAGAGAGAGAAACUAGAGAGAGAAAGAAAAAGAAGAAAAAUUAGGUUUUCUAUAUGUAUUCUCAUUUGCCGUAGAAGAUACCGGAAAAGGUUGUGGAAUUUAACUUCUAGUCCUGAAUUUUAUCUAUAUUCCAAUUUAGUCCCAUAGUUUUUAGAAAAUUCGUAAUCAUAUGAGUUCUGGCUCUGAUUAAUGGACGAGAUUUGGGAGAGAGCGGUGGAGACGGCGUUAGACGGCGAGAGAAACUUCGGUUCUGUGCGAACCCUAACGUUAGACGGAGCCGUUAAGUGUAUUCAUGGUAAGUUACCUCCUCCGUCGAUUUUUGAGAAGUUUCAGAAUCUCGAGCACCUGUCGAUUGCAAACAUCGGUGUUUCGUCGCUAGAACAGUUUCCUCGGCUACAGAAUCUGCAGAAGUUAAUUUUAUCGGACAAUAGAAUCGCCGGAGGCCUCGAGUUCCUCGUAGAUGCUGGUUUAAAUUCACUCCGGGACCUCGAUUUGUCGAAUAAUCGGAUUCAGGAUAUCGGCGAUCUCCGCCCGUUGGCUGAACUCCGCCUUGUGUCGCUUGAUCUUUAUGAGUGUCCGGUUACGCGAGUUAAGGACUAUCGAUCUAGGGUAUUUGGAUUGAUUAGGUCGUUGAAGUAUUUGGAUAAGAUGGAUGCGGAGGGGAACGAGAGGCCGGAGUCGGAUGAUGAGGAGGAAGAUGAAGAGGAGGAUGAAGAGGAUGAUCCGGGGAGUGGGGAAGUUGAUGGAGAAGAUCGGCCUUACAGGAUGAAUAAUGGACACAGGGUUGGGAGUGAAGGAGUUGUAGAUGUGGAUGAGGAUGAGAGUGAUGCUGAUGAGGAAGAAAUGGAGAUAACUCGAGGGAUUAAUGGGUCGAAACAUGAUGGUUCGAGUUCGACUCACCACUCAAAUGGUUUUCGAGUAGAGGCGGUUGGGGAUGGAGACGAGGAGGAGGAUGAUGAGGAUGAUGACGAUGAGGAUUUUGUGGAGGAGAUAGAUGAAGAGGGUGAUGAGGAGGAUGUAGUGGAGGUUCAUGAAAUAGAAGACAGUGAUGAAGAGGAGGAUGGUGUGGAAGAUGACGAGGACGAUGAUGAUGAUGACGAUGAUGAAGAGGAUGAGGAGGAAGUUGAUAAUGAUGAUGGCGAUUUUGCGGAGCCGGAGAGCACGGGGAGGUUAAAUAGCACUGAAGGGGAGAUUGAUGGGCAUGAGCAGGGGGAAGAUGAUGCAGAUGAGGAUGAUGAUGGGGAGACAGGGGAGGAGGAGCAAGGUGUUGAGGAAGAUGGCGAUUUCGAUGAUGAAGAGGAGGCUGAAGAUGAGGAGGAAGAUAAUGGCAAUGGCUACCUUGUUCAACCAGUUGGUCCUAUUGAAGUAGAUGAUGCUGAAGGCAGUGAUAUGGAGCCAGUAAAUGGUGAUGAAGAUCCUGAGUUGGAGGAAGAAGUUGAAGAUGAAGAGGACGACUAUGGUGAAGUUCAAGAGGUGCCACCUUCCUCCUCUCAAAAGAGGAAGCGGGAUGAUGACGAUGAUGAUGAUGGUGGUGAAGAAGAUGAUGAUGAAGAGUAUGCAAAGUCAUCCAAGCAUCGUUAGUGACUUUAUCUGUGGUGGGUUUGACGAAAGUGAUGAACUUGAGGAAUAGAUUUGUCUGGAGGCUGGAAGUAGUUGACUGUUGAACGUCUUUUCAUGGACAGAACACAUGUUUUGGUGGGAAAUUCAGGUCUGAGAGGUAUACAAAUGUUCAAAAGGUCGUUAGUAAAUAUUGGCCGUUGGGUUGUGAUUCAAAUGGCAGUUGAUGGGGAGAUCCAAUCCGCUUCAUGAGUAGGUUAUUGGAGGGGAAUUUGAAUUGGGGAAAAGCUAAAAAGAAAACCUCUGCUAGUUCAACAAUAGAAGUAGUGAUAGAAUUUGUUUUCCGCCUUUUUUCUUGAAUUUUAAAAAGGACGCUUUGCUUUUCCUGGGGGAUAGUUUUUAAUUGGCUUGUAAAACAGUCUUGUGGAUAGUUGUCUCAGUGGUGCCAGGUGGCAGCUGUUUGUGUGUCAGUUGAUUGCACCUAUUCGCUGAUCUUCCAACCAUGUGACCGAGCAAUGAUAUUGUACCAACCGGUCGAGAAUUUCGUUAGAUAAAAAAAAAAUAAAGAGAAAAAAAGCAAUGGUCCCAUACGCAAAAAAAGGGAUAGAAGAAAAUCCGCGCUUAUAUUCUGUUAUAAAAUUCUAUACCACUAGCCAGCCCAUCAGUUUUGUGCCAUCUCGGGUAUCUUCAAAGCAGAUUUUUGGCCCUCGUAAAAAUAUUUUUGGGCUUGGAAGCCCAAAACUGUGGGUGGUCAAAUGAUGGAUAUGCGCCUUGAAUAGAUUGAGCUGCUACGUUAGAAGGUGAUUAAGGGUAGAGCAGGCCAAUGAGUGUACUGAGUUUGGGCCGGCUUAAGUAUAGCAGGAUUCGGCCUGCCUUGGGUUUUCCAUCAAAACUUUGGUCCACGCUGUCAACGCGCGUGAACUUCACAAGCUGGUUGCGACAAAAUGGGAUUCCUCUUGUUUGUUUAUUUGUACUUGUACCAAAUUACGUUACAAAGAGAUGCAGCGUGUGUGCGCUUGGAUUUGUAUUUAAUUUCUUGAACUUUGAUUAUUGAAUUCAAAUCAAUGGUAAUA